rnacentral:tRNA from 1 species
GUGUGUGGCUCAGUGGUAGAGUGCUUGUCUAGCAUGCAUGAGGCACUGGGUUCAAUCCCCAGCACCACA